UACGUAGAGGGCAAGCGUUGUCCGGAAUCAUUGGGCGUAAAGCGCGUGUAGGCGGUUCGGUAAGUCUGCUGUGAAAGUCCAGGGCUCAACCCUGGGAUGCCGGUGGAUACUGUCGGACUAGAGUACGGAAGAGGCGAGUGGAAUUCCCGGUGUAGUGGUGAAAUGCGUAGAUAUCGGGAGGAACACCAGUGGCGAAGGCGACUUCCUGGCCUGUUCUUGACGCUGAGGCGCGAAAGCUAGGGUAGCAAACGGG
rnacentral:rRNA from 1 species